UAAUGGGUCAGCGACUUAUAUUCUGUAGCAAGGUUAACCGAAUAGGGGAGCCGAAGGGAAACCGAGUCUUAACUGGGCGUUAAGUUGCAGGGUAUAGACCCGAAACCCGGUGAUCUAGCCAUGGGCAGGUUGAAGGUUGGGUAACACUAACUGGAGGACCGAACCGACUAAUGUUGAAAAAUUAGCGGAUGACUUGUGGCUGGGGGUGAAAGGCCAAUCAAACCGGGAGAUAGCUGGUUCUCCCCGAAAGCUAUUUAGGUAGCGCCUCGUGAAUUCAUCUCCGGGGGUAGAGCACUGUUUCGGCAAGGGGGUCAUCCCGACUUACCAACCCGAUGCAAACUGCGAAUACCGGAGAAUGUUAUCACGGGAGACACACGGCGGGUGCUAACGUCCGUCGUGAAGAGGGAAACAACCCAGACCGCCAGCUAAGGUCCCAAAGUCAUGGUUAAGUGGGAAACGAUGUGGGAAGGCCCAGACAGCCAGGAUGUUGGCUUAGAAGCAGCCAUCAUUUAAAGAAAGCGUAAUAGCUCACUGGUCGAGUCGGCCUGCGCGGAAGAUGUAACGGGGCUAAACCAUGCACCGAAGCUGCGGCAGCGACACUAUGUGUUGUUGGGUAGGGGAGCGUUCUGUAAGCCUGUGAAGGUGGCCUGUGAGGGUUGCUGGAGGUAUCAGAAGUGCGAAUGCUGACAUAAGUAACGAUAAAGCGGGUGAAAAGCCCGCUCGCCGGAAGACCAAGGGUUCCUGUCCAACGUUAAUCGGGGCAGGGUGAGUCGACCCCUAAGGCGAGGCCGAAAGGCGUAGUCGAUGGGAAACAGGUUAAUAUUCCUGUACUUGGUGUUACUGCGAAGGGGGGACGGAGAAGGCUAUGUUGGCCGGGCGACGGUUGUCCCGGUUUAAGCGUGUAGGCUGGUUUUCCAGGCAAAUCCGGAAAACC
rnacentral:rRNA from 1 species